CCUCUGCCUCCGCCUCGUCUCUGGAGUUCAGCUUCCCUCUUUAUAGCAGAGGUUGUUAGGGCUAAGGCUAGGGCUAGGGGUGAGGUUGAGGUCGGGGUUGGGGUUGAGGCUAAGAAGAUAUAUGAGGUUUCACUACAGCGGCUCGGCGCGCGACCGGCACGGAGCGGAAGGUGGUGCCGCGCCCAGCUGGGUGCCACUGGAAGCUACACAGCCUCUUUUUCGGUUAGCGGCCGAUGUAGCUGCUCGACCUCUUGUUCCUCUAGACAGGUCGGUGCGUGCCGAAAUACGAUCGGUCCACGGGACGGAGGUACAGGUGGAAGGACACCUGAGGGGUCUCGGCGCCGUUCUAGCUCGACGGCGGCAACGGCUAGCUCGUCCUGGACAAGUAUCUGACGUAGACGGACGAGAGGUUGUUCGGGUGGCGAAGUUUGACACAGCACGAAGACCAGCUCGGAAUGCGGUGGAAGUAUACCAUGACAGUGUAGCCUCUGCUAGUCACCGCUUUUGUGCUGAUACUGUAGCCUUGGGUCGGCCGGGAGCUGGACGUCAGGCUCCUGUUUCUCCAGUAUUGAGGCUAACGCCGUACACCCCCGUUCAAAAUAAAGUUGUCGUGUGUUUAGCUCGAACCACAAGAACUAAAGACGGGACGAGGGCAUAAGUCAAGGUAGUUCUAGUUGCUGCACCAGCUACUAUAGAUGCCACAACUUGACCGAGGUCGAGUUCAAAAAGACCACCUUAGCCUGCCCCUCGAGAUAUACCAAAGGGACAAUACCCGCCUUUGUUAAAUACCACGUUCUCAAGUAUCCUACCUAAAAGAGUUUCGUCUCUACCUCUUUUCACAUACUAGAACCACUAGCUUGCAAGGAUAACAGGGACAAGUUGAAACCACGAGAGACGAGACAGCCGUUCAGACCUGACGCUCUCUUGACGUAGAUGUACCGCAUAGGAACCCUCGUCUGGCACGUGUAAAAGUCACAUUUUCUACCAUCAUACCUCUGCGUGUUCGACCUACUACGAGGGAGGAGUCUAUUUCGUAAGACCUACGAGGGACGGUUAGUAUAUCUAAUCAAAUCUAAGUGUUCUAUAAAAAAGGUACAGCAAAAAUCAAUAGUGGUCUGAACCUAACACG
rnacentral:rRNA from 1 species